UACGUAGGUCCCGAGCGUUGUCCGGAUUUAUUGGGCGUAAAGCGAGCGCAGGUGGUUUAUUAAGUCUGGUGUAAAAGGCAGUGGCUCAACCAUUGUAUGCAUUGGAAACUGGUAGGCUUGAGUGCAGAAGAGGAGAGUGGAAUUCCAUGUGUAGCGGUGAAAUGCGUAGAUAUAUGGAGGAACACCGGUGGCGAAAGCGGCUCUCUGGCCUGUAACUGACACUGAGGCUCGAAAGCGUGGGGAGCAAACAGG
rnacentral:rRNA from 1 species